GUUACCCUUCACUGUCUAUGCGUAGGAAAUCCCCAAAUCGUGAGCCAACAGCGGAUAUAGCGAGCGGUGAGGGCGGUGAUUGACGGACGAGCGUCGAGGGCGCCGCCGGCGAGGUCAGCGAGGGAGGGGAGGGCGCCGCCGGCAAGGGCGACGAAGGUACUAAGAUGGGCUCGACUGUGCGCUCUGGCAUGCUCCAGCCCGAGGCCAUCGGUGGCCGGAACGACAAGGUCGACGACGAGGAGUAGAAGCUGACAGCAGAGGUUUGGUAGGAUGGGAUUCCGACGGUGACGUCGCCGCCACCACCCACAAGCCACCGUCUCGGUUGACUGAAGGCUCAUGGGAAACAAUGGGCACAAUAAUACUCAUAAGCUGAAAUGCUAGGAUCAGGUGCCAUUACAUCAGGACAAACUGCAGGACGCUGAUGGUGCUCAAUAGAGGUACAAGAACCAGUGUGCUGCUCUAGUAAAUUCAAUAGAAAAGGAAGAAGAGGAUCUGGAACAUGUGAGGAAGAUAUGUGAACUGGAACUUCAGUUGCAGAAUGAGAAGUCGGAGAAGAAGAAAAUGGAGGGAAGACAUAAAAAUGAGGGAUAGGAAGGAGAUGACAUAUGUAACAGUUGUAGCAGUUUGUAUGGCCAUUUAUGCUCCUAUCUGUCAGGGGGUUUGUGUGAUGUAAAUUGUGUGUUCAAAUGAAACAGAGGAAUAAGAAUUGCAAGUAUGCUUCUAUC